CAAAAUGUGAGAUAAAACCGGGAACCACGCAUUACAUUUCCCCAUCUUCCCUAAAUUAUCCAAUGUCAUCAAGAGACUACAUCCAUCUUCUCACUCCAUCGCCAGCUAACCAAUCGGCGCGCACCUCCGACCAUCCUGGUCGAAGGCUUUAUUGCUAACCAAUGUGAGUUGGCUAUCCCGAAAAAGUGACGACGAAGACUUGCUGGCCACGUUAACUUGAUCCUCUCCCUACCAUCAUCUAAACCCCACCAAGCCUCAGAAUCUCGAGGUGCCAUUUAUCUCUCUUUCAGUGGAAGAGUGAGCUUUGGAGUUUACGGUCUGGCUGGAGUUGCGGCGCUGAUUGGCUAGCUGGGUUUUAUUGCUAACCAAUGUGAGUUGGCUAUCCCGAAACAGUGACGACGAAGGCUUGCUGGGUUUAGAUUUUUUGGGUUUUAUUGCUAACUCACAUUGGCCGAGAUAUCCAACUCACGUGGCCGUAAGACUCUUAAUUUUUAUUUUUAUUUUCAGAAUAAAACCUAGAAAAUCCUCAUCUUGUCUCAUAUUAUAUAUAUACUUAUUUUGUUUUGCAGCAUCAAGCAAGAAUAUUGGUAUAGAAGAGAUAUCACUUGGUUAUGAAUGCUGAUUUUGGAAGAUUUGUGAAGCUGCGCAUUCUGCCACGCAGUUUUGCUAAAAUCCGAUUUGGAAUCAGUUUUCCAUUUGUUUAUAACCUGUGAAAGUGCUGAAUUUUGGAAAAUUGGUUAUAUAUUUGUUUGUGAUUGUGUAAGGUGCAAAUAGCGUGAUAUUACA
rnacentral:lncRNA from 1 species